GUCAGGAUGGCCGAGCGGUCUAAGGCGCCAGACUCAAGGAUUGACUCCUUCCUUAGUUACGGGAUUUCUGGUCUCCGAAUGGAGGCGUGGGUUCAAAUCCCACUUCUGACA
rnacentral:tRNA from 1 species